GAUGAACGCUAGCGAUAGGCUUAACACAUGCAAGUCGAGGGGCAGCACAAGGUAGCUUGCUAUCUGGGUGGCGACCGGCGCACGGGUGCGUAACGCGUAUGCAACUUGCCCUAUACAGGAGGAUAACCCGUCGAAAGACGGACUAAUACUGCGUAUGCUCACAACUUGGCAUCAAGUGGUGAGGAAAGAAAUUCGGUAUAGGAUAGGCAUGCGUCCCAUUAGCUUGUUGGUGAGGUAACGGCUCACCAAGGCAACGAUGGGUAGGGGAACUGAGAGGUUUAUCCCCCACAAUGGUACUGAGACACGGACCAGACUCCUACGGGAGGCAGCAGUGAGGAAUAUUGGUCAAUGGGCGCGAGCCUGAACCAGCCAAGUCGCGUGAAGGAUGACUGUCUUAUGGAUUGUAAACUUCUUUUAUACGGGAAUAACAAGAGUCACGUGUGACUCCCUGCAUGUACCGUAUGAAUAAGCAUCGGCUAACUCCGUG
rnacentral:rRNA from 1 species